AACGAACGCUGGCGGCAUGCCUAACACAUGCAAGUCGAACGAGACCUUCGGGUCUAGUGGCGCACGGGUGCGUAACGCGUGGGAACCUUCCCUUAGGUUCGGAAUAACUCCCCGAAAGGGGUGCUAAUACCGGAUAAUGUCUUCGGACCAAAGAUUUAUCGCCUUUGGAUGGGCCCGCGUUGGAUUCGCUAGUUGGUAGGGUAAAAGCCUACCAAGGCGACGAUCCAUAGCUGGUCUGAGAGGAUGAUCAGCCACACUGGGACUGAGACACGGCCCAGACUCCUACGGGAGGCAGCAGUGGGGAAUAUUGGACAAUGGGCGAAAGCCUGAUCCAGCAAUGCCGCGUGAGUGAUGAAGGCCUUAGGGUUGUAAAGCUCUUUUACCCGGGAUGAUAAUGACAGUACCGGGAGAAUAAGCUCCGGCUAACUCCGUG
rnacentral:rRNA from 1 species